GAUGAACGCUGGCGGCGUGCCUAAUACAUGCAAGUCGAGCGAACAGACGAGGAGCUUGCUCCUCUGACGUUAGCGGCGGACGGGUGAGUAACACGUGGAUAACCUACCUAUAAGACUGGGAUAACUUCGGGAAACCGGAGCUAAUACCGGAUAAUAUAUUGAACCGCAUGGUUCAAUAGUGAAAGACGGUUUUGCUGUCACUUAUAGAUGGAUCCGCGCCGCAUUAGCUAGUUGGUAAGGUAACGGCUUACCAAGGCGACGAUGCGUAGCCGACCUGAGAGGGUGAUCGGCCACACUGGAACUGAGACACGGUCCAGACUCCUACGGGAGGCAGCAGUAGGGAAUCUUCCGCAAAGGGCGAAAGCCUGACGGAGCAACGCCGCGUGAGUGAUGAAGGUCUUCGGAUCGUAAAACUCUGUUAUUAGAGAAGAACAAAUGUGUAAGUAACUAUGCACGUCUUGACGGUACCUAAUCAGAAAGCCACGGCUAACUACGUG
rnacentral:rRNA from 1 species